CUACGGGCCGCUCCAGUGGGGAAUAUUGGACAAUGGGGGAAACCCUGAUCCAGCAAUGCCGCGUGUGUGAAGAAGGCCUGCGGGUUGUAAAGCACUUUCGGUUGGGAGGACUGCUUCUAGCACUAAUAUUGUUGGAAGUUGACGUUACCUUCAGAAGAAGCACCGGCUAACUCCGUGCCAGCAGCCGCGGUAAUAGCGGAGGGUGCAAGCGUUAAUCGGAAUUACUGGGCGUAAAGCGCGCGUAGGCGGCUAGAUCAGUCGGGUGUGAAAGCCCCGGGCUUAACCUGGGAACUGCAUCCGAUACUGGCUAGCUUGAGUACAGGAGAGGAGAGUGGAAUUCCACAUGUAGCGGUGAAAUGCGUAGAUAUGUGGAGGAACACCAAUGGCGAAGGCAGCUCUCUGGCCUGAUACUGACGCUGAGGUGCGAAAGCGUGGGGAGCAAACAGGAUUAGAUACCCCUGUAGUC
rnacentral:rRNA from 1 species